GAAAAGAUCAGCUAAGUAAGCUUUUGGGUUCAUACCUCAACAAUAAAGGUAAAAUCCUUUUCUUUUCA
rnacentral:tRNA from 1 species